rnacentral:lncRNA from 1 species
GGUGACUGGUUAUUUCGACGGGUGCUGUUUAUUUAUUUAUACAAUUUCAUCCUUCCUUAUGACAUAGUCCCGACACAUCUAGAUUUGCUACCCAAGGUGGCUGGUCUUCUUGUUCUGUAUCUAUGGAUGCGACCCAGAUGUUCAUUCUAAAUAUUCCAUUGCCAUACUGGCCGUAAACGUUCUUAUCCCUUGCUUGCUAGCUAGCCAACUACGUCUAAUUUACAGUCACGUCAAAAAGUGCAGCCAGAAUAACAACAAAGUAGCUGCCCUUGCAUUUGCUUAAGCUGUUUUCUAGUGACAUUUAUUUGGAACAUUCAUAACAAUGAGCUAAUGGCAUAGAAAAUGUGCUCACUCGUCAGGUCACUGUUCAGAGAAGCUAGCCAACAACACAGCUAAAUCAAUCACUUCAAACUGAAGCUGGAAAGACUGCAAACUAGCUGCACUUCGUUUACCGAGAGAAUACUUCAAAAUGAGAAGAUCCUGCCAAGGAAAAGACGACUGGGUGGACAUAAAGUGGAAAGGAGGGAAAUAACUCACACCAUGCAGCACGACACCUUCAGCUGAGGGGUCUUUGUAAUGCAGAGUUCAACAAAGCCAACAACUGCUUCAUGUGUGCCACUGAUAAAGAACCUGGAUGUGGCCCAAAGACUGACUGGGAAUGAAGACGAGUUCAGAGUGAAGAACACAAACUGGAAGAUCUGUCUUUGUUGUUGAAAAUGAUGCCGGUGGGCGGAGUUGGAAGGGUCGUCAGCUACAUGGGAAACACCUGGAUCCGGGUGUGUCCCAGGAUAAAGGCACCUCUUCCACAGUCAUUGGGGAGACUCUCUCCACGCAGACACCUUGUUGUUUUUGGUUGUGCUAGUUGUGGUAUCUAAUAAAUAUAUAUUUUUGAUACUCCUUGUCUCCACGUUGUCUCCCUUUUGUUGCGAACUUUGAGCAGGUUCGUAACACUUUGGACAAUUAAUAACAUGACUCUCGUACUUUGCCAUUUUCAUUUAUGGUUGACCAAGGAGCUAUUGAAAGUUAGAAAAAUGUAUGUAAAAACGUGUGAGAUGAAAAUUGACAAACUAAAGGAUGUGCAAUGUGAAGGCCAACUGAGUGGACAUUCUGAACCUUAUUUGAGUCCAGUAGGUCACAUGACCAAGGAGCUAUUGACAUUUUUAAGUUUGAAAAAUUCAUGUAAAAACGCGAGAGAUGAAA